GAUGAACGCUGGCGGCGUGCCUAAUACAUGCAAGUCGAGCGAACAGACGAGGAGCUUGCUCCUCUGACGUUAGCGGCGGACGGGUGAGUAACACGUGGAUAACCUACCUAUAAGACUGGGAUAACUUCGGGAAACCGGAGCUAAUACCGGAUAAUAUAUUGAACCGCAUGGUUCAAUAGUGAAAGACGGUUUUGCUGUCACUUAUAGAUGGAUCCGCGCCGCAUUAGCUAGUUGGUAAGGUAACGGCUUACCAAGGCGACGAUGCGUAGCCGACCUGAGAGGGUGAUCGGCCACACUGGAACUGAGACACGGUCCAGACUCCGACGGGAGGCAGCAGUAGGGAAUCUUCCGCAAUGGGCGAAAGCCUGACGGAGCAACGCCGCGUGAGGGAUGAAGGUCUUCGGAUCGUAAAACUCUGUUAUUAGGGAAGAACAAAUGUGUAAGUAACUAUGCACGUCUUGACGGUACCUAAUCAGAAAGCCACGGCUAACUACGUG
rnacentral:rRNA from 1 species